rnacentral:rRNA from 1 species
AUGGCAGUCUUCAGGAACAAUGUGGCUGUUGCCGUAUGGUUGGGGGCUCUCAUGCUCAUGGCAACCCUUUCUGCCUCAGAAGGAAACCCAGCCUUUAUUGGAUGUUUUGAGGUCCACCAGAACUGCUUCCCUGAUGACUGUCAGAAGAGAUGCGAGGACGAUCUUGGAAAAGAUACGUUAAGUGAAUGCGAGCGGGAUCAUGGCGUACUACAACCGUAUCCCGGGCUUCAGUGUUGUUGUUAUCGAAAGGACGGUACCCGAAAAUGA